rnacentral:rRNA from 1 species
UCGGGGUGCGCAGGCGCGAAAACUUUACAAUGCUGGAAACAGCGAUAAGGGGACCUCGAGUGCCAGGUUACAAAUCUGGCUGUCGUGAUGCCUAAAAAGCAUUGCAUAGCAAGGGCCGGGCAAGACCGGUGCCAGCCGCCGCGGUAACACCGGCGGCUCGAGUGGUAACCGUUAUUAUUGGGUCUAAAGGGUCUGUAGCCGGCCGGAUAAGUCUCUUGGGAAAUCCAGCAGCUCAACUGUUGGGCUUUCAGGAGAUACUGUCUGGCUCGAGGCCGGGAGAGGUGAGAGGUACUUCAGGGGUAGGGGUGAAAUCUUGUAAUCCUUGAAGGACCACCAGUGGCGAAGGCGUCUCACCAGAACGGACCUGACGGCAAGGGACGAAAGCUAGGGGCACGAACCGGAUUAGAUACCCGGGUAGUCCUAGCCGUAAACGAUACUCGCUAGGUGUCGGCCACGGUGCGACCGUUGUCGGUGCCGUAGGGAAGCCGUGAAGCGAGCCACCUGGGAAGUACGGCCGCAAGGCUGAAACUUAAAGGAAUUGGCGGGGGAGCAC